rnacentral:rRNA from 1 species
GGACUACUGGGGUAUCUAAUCCUGUUUGCUACCCACGCUUUCGUGUCUCAGCGUCAGUGAUGGUCCAGAAAGCCGUCUACACCGCAGGUGUUCCUCCUGAUAUCUACGCAUUUCACCGCUACACCAGGAAUUCCGCUUUCCCCUCCCAUACUCAAGCCCCCCAGUUUCCGGCGCACCCUCCCGGUUGAGCCGGGAGAUUUCACACCGAACUUAGAGAACCGCCUACACACUCUUUACGCCCAGUAACUCCGAACAACGCUUGCUGCCUACGUAUUACCGCGGCGGCUGGCAC